rnacentral:rRNA from 1 species
GACGAACGCUGGCGGCGUGCCUAAUACAUGCAUGUCGAGCGCAGGAAAUCGACGGAACCCUUCGGGGGGAAGUCGACGGAAUGGGCGGCGGACGGGUGAGUAACACGUAAAGAACCUGCCCUCAGGUCUGGGAUAACCACGAGAAAUCGGGGCUAAUACCGGAUGGGUCAUCGGACCGCAUGGUCCGAGGAUGAAAGGCGCUUCGGCGUCGCCUGGGGAUGGCUUUGCGGUGCAUAGCUAGUUGGUGGGGUAAUGGCCCACCAAGGCGACGGUGCAUAGCCGACCUGAGAGGGUGAUCGGCCACACUGGGACUGAGACACGGCCCAGACUCCUACGGGAGGCAGCAGUAGGGAAUCUUCCACAAUGGACGAAAGUCUGAUGGAGCAACGCCGCGUGAACGAUGAAGGCCUUCGGGUCGUAAAGUUCUGUUGUAAGGGAAGAACAAGUGCCGCAGGCAAUGGCGGCACCUUGACGGUACCUUGCGAGAAAGCCACGGCUAACUACGUGCCAGCAGCCGCGGUAA